GCCCGAAUGGCGAAAUUGGUAGACGCAUGGGACUUAAAAUCCCCCGCCUCCGGGCAUCCCGGUUCGAGUCCGGGUUCGGGCACCA
rnacentral:tRNA from 1 species